rnacentral:lncRNA from 1 species
GACAGUCCCAGCCUACUACGGAGGGGCCUGCGCUCACCCCAGGGCCCAACUGCAGCUCCGCUCUCUGGCUUGGCUCUCAGGCUGCAGAGGCGUCCGGGAGGGAGUGGACCAGCCCUGGGCCCGGCUGGGCGGCGGGCUGCCUGAGCGCCUGCUGUCUUGGCUAUCUCACCUGCCACGAGGUUGGCCACCCUGACUGCUGCUGGGUGUGCAGCUGGUGCCUUGAGCACGGUCAGUGGGGUGCAGCAGCCGCCUCCAGAACCUUCAUCCAACUGAAAAUCUCCUCAUUCCACUGUUGCCCUGUCCUUCCUGGUCCCUGGCCCCCGCUGGUGGUCACCUUCCAUCUCUGUGGACCUGACCACUCUGGCACACAGAACUGGACUCAUGCCGUGUCCAUCCUUUGGUGACUGGCUUAUGUGGCUUGGCACACCGUCCUGAGGUCCAUCUGUGUCAUAGCAGGUGCAGGCUACCCUUCCUUCCUCUGGUGAGCAGAUUGGCCACGCUCUGCAUCCACUUACGUGUCUAUCUGUGGGCACAUGGUCGGUUCCUCCUCUGUGAAGACACGGAGAGCGUGGCACAUAGACAUGGCCCAGGCCCUGCUUUCACUCCCCUGCUCUGUGCCCAGCUGCAGGCUGCUGGCCCUAGGGUAGCUGUGCUACCUUCCUGAGGGACUUGGGGUCUUGGCUUGUUUGACUUCUUGUAGAUUCUGUGACCCUGGGGAAGCACCCUCCCUUCUCUGUCCCCUGCCGGAGGAAGACUCCUGGAAUCCACCUGCAGUUGGCCACGCCCUCCACCCCCACCCCAGGAGCCAGCUGUGGCUGAUUGCUGGGAGCCAUGGUCCAUCUGCAGACCCAACCCCUGAGGUGCUGUGGCUUCAGUGGGAGUGCUGGACUGGGUCAUCCAUUCAUCUCCCUAGUUCUGGUGGGGCGGGGUGAAAUACCUCAGCCCCAGAGGGGACGGGAGCCUCCGGAGGUCAAGGAGAGCUAGGCAGCACGUAGGACUCUUGGAUUAAAAUAGCAUUGAGGGGCCCUGGAGGCCUCGGGCCUGUGCCUCGGGCGGCAGCUGGGCAGGGUGUAGCUUCCACCAGGCCUAAGAGCUGCCAGCCCUCUGAGUCCAGCACAGCCCCCUCCCAAAGAAGCAGCAGGCUGGAUCCCACACUGUGGGCACACCCACCCAAUGGUCAGCCUGGGGACACUGAGUGGCCACACACAGAAAGCCAUGGUCAGCACAGAAGGUCCAUGUGGCCACCCAGCCCAGCUGGCUUGGUUACUUAGCAACAACCUCAGACCCGGAGACGGUUCACCAGGAGGUGGGUCAGGAAAGCAUGUCCCCCAGGGGAAGGAAGAUGGAACCGGCCGCUCACACCUGCUUUGGACCAGUUUCACUCCAUGGUGCCCAGAGCCCAACUCUGAGCCCGCCACAGUUUUCAAAGGCCAAGGACAUGCAGGCCUGUUGCACCGCGUGUGCCCCCAGGCCCCCAGCGUCUUCUGUGCAGCACGCGGCUCUGCCUUCUGCUCUGACUGCCCUGUUCCCUUGGUACUUGCAGACGGCAGCACCUUUCUUAUGUGCUGCUGAGGAUCCCACCGUCCUCACGCAUGCGAGGCACGCACUCUGCCACGAGCCCCCGCC